AGGCCCCGAGGCGGAUCGGGUAUUGAGUCCAUGGAGCGAGCUGAGAGCUAGAGAACCUGCUAAGGCCAUCAAACCUAUCGAUCGGAAGUCAGUCCAUCAGAUUUGCUCUGGGCCGGUGGUACUGAGUCUAAGCACUGCGGUGAAGGAGUUAGUAGAAAACAGUCUGGAUGCUGGUGCCACCAAUAUUGAUCUAAAGCUUAAGGACUAUGGAGUGGAUCUCAUUGAAGUUUCAGACAAUGGAUGUGGGGUAGAAGAAGAAAACUUUGAAGGCUUAACGAUGUCACCAUUUCUACCUGCCACGCAUCGGCGAAGGUUGGGACUCGACUGGUGUUUGAUCACGAUGGGAAAAUCAUCCAGAAAACCCCCUACCCCCACCCCAGAGGGACCACAGUCAGCGUGAAGCAGUUAUUUUCUACACUACCUGUGCACCAUAAGGAAUUUCAAAGGAAUAUUAAGAAGACGUGCCUGUUUCCCCUUCGCCUUCUGCCGUGAUUGUCAGUUUCCUGAGGCCUCCCCAGCCAUGCUUCCUGUACAGCCUGCAGAACUACUGUCCCUGAAGUGUUGUCUACUGUUGUGGAGGCAAUCACUGUCAUUCCCAGGCACUGAGCCUCGAAACUGCAGAGUCAAAGGUGACCUCCUUUUCCCUGGCCGCUCACACCACCUCCAUCGAUUCUCCCUGGGCAGCACUUCUGCUGCCAGUGGCGUGACUUGGUCACGCAGGCCCUUCCUCUGGGCCACAGCCACUGUCUUCCAGCCAAUUGACCUUCUGAUUCCAGCUGUGGCUUCUCUCAACUUCCCACAGACGGCCUGAGACUGUGCCGACAGCAGAAUUGAUUCCUAUGAUCCUGAAUGUAAAGUCUGAGUAUCAAAUCUGCA
ensembl:lncRNA PMS2P4 PMS1 homolog 2, mismatch repair system component pseudogene 4